rnacentral:rRNA from 1 species
CCUACGGGUGGCAGCAGUGGGGAAUAUUGCGCAAUGGGCGAAAGCCUGACGCAGCGACGCCGCGUGAGGGAUGAAGGUCUUCGGAUCGUAAACCUCUGUCAGCAGGGAAGAACGGUCACUGUGCUAAUCAGCAGUGAAUUGACGGUACCUGCAAAGGAAGCACCGGCUAACUCCGUGCCAGCAGCCGGGGUAAUACGGAGGGUGCGAGCGUUAAUCGGAAUUACUGGGCGUAAAGCGCUCGUAGGAGGUAUGUCAAGUCAAGGGUGAAAUCCCCGCGCUCAACGUGGGAACUGCCUUUGAAACGGGCAAACUGGAGUGUGGGAGAGGAUAGUGGAAUUCCAGGUGUAGGAGUGAAAUGCGUAGAUAUCAGGAGGAACAUCAGUGGCGAAGGCGACUAUCUGGCACAUAACUGACGCUGAGGAGCGAAAGCGUGGGUAGCAAACAGGAUUAGAUACCCGAGUAGUC